AUUGAACGCUGGCGGCAUGCCUUACACAUGCAAGUCGAACGGUAACAGGUCUUCGGAUGCUGACGAGUGGCGAACGGGUGAGUAAUACAUCGGAACGUGCCUAGUAGUGGGGGAUAACUACUCGAAAGAGCGGCUAAUACCGCAUGAGAUCUACGGAUGAAAACAGGGGAUCGCAAGCCCUUUUGCUACUGAAGCGGCCGAUGGCCGAUUAGGUAGUAGGUCGGAUAAAAUCUUACCAAGCCGACGAUCUGUAGCUGGUCUGAGAGGACGAUCAGCCACACUGGGACUGAGACACGGCCCAGACUCCUACGGGAGGCAGCAGUGGGGAAUUUUGGACAAUGGGCGCAAGCCUGAUCCAGCAAUGCCGCGUGCAGGAUGAAGGCCUUCGGGUUGUAAACUGCUUUUGUACGGAACGAAAAGCCCUGGGUUAAUACCCUGGGGUCAUGACGGUACCGUAAGAAUAAGCACCGGCUAACUACGUGCCAGCCGCCGCCGUAAAAC
rnacentral:rRNA from 1 species